rnacentral:rRNA from 2 species
AUGCUUUUGACGGGUAACGGGGAAUUAGGGUUCGACUCCGGAGAGGGAGCCUGAGAAACGGCUACCACAUCCAAGGAAGGCAGCAGGCGCGCAAAUUACCCAAUCCCAACAUGGGGAGGUAGUGACAAGAAAUACUGAUAUAGGGUCCUAUAGGAUCUUGUAAUUGGAAUGAGUACAAUUUAAACCCAUUAACGAGGAACAACUAGAGGGCAAGUCUGGUGCCAGCAGCCGCGGUAAUUCCAGCUCUAGUAGCAUACAUUAAAAUUGUUGCAGUUAAAACGCCCGUAGUUGAAGCUUAGGUCCUUAUCAUCUAGUCUGCCUCACCGCUAGCACUGGUAUGAUUGGGCCUUUUUUCUUGGUAAACUGUUAUGCCCUUUAUUGGGUGUGGCAGUGAACUAGGACUUUUACUUUGAAAAAAUUAGAGUGUUUAAAGCAGGCUUUUGCUCGAAUACCUUAGCAUGGAAUAAUGGAAUAUGACGAGUGGUUGUUUUUCAUUGGUUUUCACGACUACCGUAAUGAUUGAUAGGGAUGGUCGGGGGCAUCGGUAUUCGAUCGUCAGAGGU